GGUGAGGUGUCCGAGUGGCUAAAGGAGCACGCCUGGAAAGUGUGUAUACAAUAAAAUUGUAUCGAGGGUUCGAAUCCCUCUCUCACCG
rnacentral:tRNA from 1 species